rnacentral:piRNA from 1 species
UCCGGGAGUAGGGGUUCAGCUGAGAAAG